GGUUAGAUGGCCGAGCGGUCUAAGGCGCCAGACUAAGGCUUAUGUAAUCUGGUCUCUUCGGGGGCGUGAGUUCGAAUCUCACUCUAAUCA
rnacentral:tRNA from 1 species